UAACCCAGUAACCCCAUUCGGCCAUUCCCCCAAGCCCCACUCCCAAACGAACCCUAGCCCCUCUCUCCCUACUCCCUAGGUCUUACAGCCUCGCUCUCUGCACCUUCCAUCGCCGGUGAGAGACCUCCUCCCACCACCUCGCAGCCACCGCCGACCUUCAUCCCAGCGUAGCUCUUCUACUGCUCCCACCCAGGACCUCCUCGCGGACAGAGCAGCCCAGCAGUACAGCACACAGCCAGCGCCCAGCAGGUCGGCACCACCCUUUUAAGUCGUACCCACCACCACCCUCAGUCCCUCGCAACUCGCAAAUCGCACCCAGUAGGCUAGGACCACCCAUUCACCCAGGACCACUCAGCGGACACAGAGCACUGUAUCAAGUCAGAUAUGGAGCCCAAGCCACCGAGUCAGGUAUAAAGGUAGACCAGCAUUACCGAGGAAGUUGAUCUCGCAGGGUGCUGCACAGAAGCAAUAUAGUGUUGAGGUUUACCCACUCAUUUUGAAGUUGACUGAUGCCAGAGAUAAGAGUGUGUCAACUGUAAAAUUAAGUAAAAAGGCGAACAUAAGGGAACUAUAUGAACUGGUGUGCAAAAUCAAAGGAGUAGAAUAAAAAAAGGAACCACACCUGAAUUA